CCUACGGGUGGCAGCAGUCGAGAAUCAUUCACAAUGGAGGAAACCCUGAUGGUGCGACGCCGCGUGGGGGAAUGAAGGUCUUCGGAUUGUAAACCCCUGUCAUGUGGGAGCAAAUUAAAAAGAUAGUACCACAAGAGGAAGAGACGGCUAACUCUGUGCCGGCAGCCGCGGUACUACAGAGGUCUCAAGCGUUGUUCGGAGUCACUGGGCGUAAAGCGUGCGUAGGCGGUUUCGUAAGUCGUGUGUGAAAGGCGCGGGCUCAACCCGCGGACGGCACAUGAUACUGGGAGACUAGAGUAAUGGAGGGGUAACCGGAAUUCUCGGUGUAGCAGUGAAAUGCGUAGAUAUCGAGAGGAACACUCGUGGCGAAGGCGGGUCCCUGGACAUUAACUGACGCUGAGGCACGAAGGCCAGGGGAGCGAAAGGGAUUAGAUACCCGAGUAGUC
rnacentral:rRNA from 1 species